rnacentral:tRNA from 1 species
GCCUGGGUGGCUCAGUCAGUUGAGCGUCUGACUCUUGAUUUCGGCUCAGGUCAUGAUCUCACAGUUUGUGGGUUCGAGCCCCAUGUCGGGCU